UGGAAAUUGAUAGAAGAUCUUGAAACAGAUGUUUUAACUGAAGAUAAUAUGUCAACAUUUCUUCAAUGUUUGAGGGAGCAUGAAGUAAACAAAGGAAGUGGAGAAGCAUCAACAUCAAAAAGAAAAAUGUCAGACAAAGAUACUGGAGAAGCAUCAACAUCAAAAAGACAAAUGUUAGAAAAAGGUUUGUGCUGUGCAGUUGAUGUAUCAUUUUUAAGGCUCACUAACACCAGCGCAAUGAUCCCUCUAAAUGACAACAAAUGGAAUAUGA